GCUGCCCCUGUGGCAUAUGGAAGUUCCCAGGCCAGGGAACCAACCGAGUCAGAGCCGUGACCUAUUCCACAGCUGGGACAGCUCUGGAUCCUUUAACCCACUGUUAGUUGGUGUCUCCACCAAGACAAGCCAGAUCAUGAACCCACUGUGCCACAGCAGAAACUCCCAAAUGGAUUUUAAUUUAAAAAACAUUUUGACUCAAAAAAUUUUGGUUCUGAAAGGGAUCUUAGAAGCUAUCUCAUCCAAAGCUCUCAUUUUAUGUGAGGAAACUGAGGCUCAGAGACUGAGCUGGGAUAAGGACUCCGUGCUUCAGGCUUUCAGUCCAGACAUUUGGGAAAAAAUCAAAUUAUUUUAAAUUGAUUUUUACCUAGGUUCCCACAACUUUCCUAUGCUCCUUCUCCCCACUGCUAACUCUCUUUCUCUCUCCCCAGUCACAGUGGGCAAUCUUACUUUUAUCCUGUGCAGGUCAUAGGCCACCACAACACACUGGUGCACAGGCAAACCCAUUAUGCUGUUCCAUGAAAACACACAGGCUGGAAGACCCAUUGGUGGCUGUACAUUAAUUAUGAAACCUUGAGAGCUGUACUAUGAUGUACUUAUGACUCUUCUUCACUGGUAUCCAGGCAUUUGGAAAGGUGUAUGGAACCUACUCAUCACAAGGAAAGCACACAAACAAUUGAAAACAUUUCCAACUCUCAAACUCCAUUGUUUGUGCUGUUUCCUAAGUAGAACGUAAUUUAACAUAGAAACCUGGACUGUUUCAGGUGGAGAUGUCGUUAAGCAGAGUUCACCCUUCAAAGCUCAAUUUAGCAAAGAAAAGAUGGGCUGUGUUUUUGCUUCAAAAGGAGCUGCUGACCAGGCUGAUAUUUGGGGCAGAGUUUCUGAGAAUCUGUUUGCACAUCUGUGCUGCCAGAAGCAGAAGACAAAGGUGUAAAUAGGCUUUAUAAUACCCCAUCCCACUCUUCCCAGCCACCUCUAGAAGCAUGACUUCCCAGAGGGCAGUGGGUUACAGAAUGAGUUUGGCUGUCAUUCUGCUGAUAAUUUUUAUGAGAAGGGAGUCCAGAGCAUGCUUUAAAAUGUAAUCUAUAAUUCAUUGCAGAUGAACUGUAAAAUGCAGAAGCAUUAAUUUUUACAACAACUCUCAUUAUUUACGACACUUCCCCUGUCCUCUAUUAAAAAUAUUUCUUUGUUGCAUGUAUAGAAUAUUCACAGCUGCUAGAUUAUUUACAGGGGGGUUAAUGAACAGUUAUAAUGAUUUAGCCAUUAGAAAAUUAAAGCCGUUUAAGAAAAGGUAACUUGUUUCUGAGAUGUUUUCUCAUUGAAUAAAAAUCGUAACAGGGGAAUUAAAUUUAUUUACUAAAACCUAAUUGCCAAGUGAAAAUGAUCUAAAAGUAGGGCUUUGAAAUUUUAUGUUAGUCAAGGUACAGAGCAAAACACUGCAGACAGUGUUUUGAAAAUGAAGAAUAUUUAUUGGAGGAAUUUUAUUGGGGAUGCAGACAAAGGCGGAAAUGUGAUUAAAUGAGACUCAGGACUGGUGAAGUUAUGGAAGUUGCUCUGCUCAGUCAUUCAUUCAGUGAGCACAUAAGAGGCUGCUGGGAACCAUCUAUUGUGCUAUCAGAGGUACAUAAAGAUGAAAAAACAGGGUCUCUGCUCUCAAGUGGUUCACAGUCCAAAGGUGGAACAAACACAUGAAAAUGGUGCUAUUAUUCAGCAAGUGCUGCAAAGGAGGUGAGUACAAAGCAGAGUCAGCUUCUCUGUCUGUGGAGUCUGAGAAGACUUGUUGGAGUUGGGGAUGCUUGACCUAAGCCGAGGUUGCAAAGUGACAGAUGCUUAUUUUGUUUGAUUUACACAGUAUGGAUUAAAAAAUGGAAGGGGAAACCCAUCAAGAUAAUUAGUCAACUGGUGCUUUGAUGAACCCAAACAUAUUGCAAUAAGAGAUAAAAAGGAAAAGGAGAAAGCUUAUCAGAUACAGCUGGGUUCAAAAACAAGGCAAACAUCUUCAAGAACUAGAGAUGGAACAGAAACAUGAACAGGUGGUAGGAUCAGAAUAAUGAUGUGCUAUGCCCUUGAUGAGCAGGGAUGGCCAGGAAUUUGGUUUAUUAAAGGGACUGAUUGUCCUUUAUAUGACAGACAUCCUUCUAACAGCAUUAAAAAAAAGCUGAGAAAAUACUGAAGAUUACUGGCUGGGUCAAAGUACUUAGAAACAGACUUGUAGUUGGGAGCUGAAUGAAACCAUCUAUUGGCUUGGUCACUGUGUCUUUGUUCUCCUUAGUAUUGUUAUAGGUCCUGUGACCUGCAGUGGGUUGAAUAGAUAAAGUGGGUUUUAUCUAUUCAACCCUUUCCCUGUAAAAAUCCAUGGUCACCCAGAACCUCGGAAUGUGGUCUUAUUUGGAAAUAAGGUCUUUGAAGAUAUAACUAGUUAAGUAGCUGGACAUAAAAUCAUCCUGGAUUAAGUGGUCCCUACACCCAGUGACUGAGAUGUCCUUAUAAGAUCAUGGUAAUUUGAUAUGGCAGCCUUAGGAAACUGAUACAUAUCCCAAACCUCCAAACCUUAAAAGACCUGGUUUAGGACUGGUGGCUGGGCAUGGGGGACAUAUUGAGGCAACUGCAGAGGAAGGCAGGUGGGGGCAUGUAGAAAGAUGAGUACAGGAAGCAAUAGCAGGGGGAAUAUCGAGGGUGAGUGAGGGUGUGCUCCCAGGCAGAUGUCAGAGAACCAAAGCCCAUAACCCAAACCCUAAACAUAAAGCUUCCCUUCAAAAGAAGCCCAAAUUCAUAAACAGGUGAAGGAAACUACCUUUAGGAAAAGCAGCAAUAAAAUCAACUAUUGAGACAUGAGUGUAUUCCAGAUGCAAUUAAUUCCAUAGCUGUGUCUGACAAAGACUUUACUUAUUUAUCAGAUAAGGCUUUCAGACUUCCCGUUGUAGCUCACC
rnacentral:lncRNA from 1 species